rnacentral:rRNA from 1 species
GACGAACGCUGGCGGCGUGCUUAACACAUGCAAGUCGUACGGUAAGGCCCUUUCGGGGGUACACGAGUGGCGAACGGGUGAGUAACACGUGAGUAACCUGCCCACAACUUUGGGAUAACGCUAGGAAACUGGUGCUAAUACUGGAUAUGUGCUCCUGCUGCAUGGUGGGGGUUGGAAAGCUCCGGCGGUUGUGGAUGGACUCGCGGCCUAUCAGCUUGUUGGUGGGGUAGUGGCCUACCAAGGCGGCGACGGGUAGCCGGCCUGAGAGGGUGAACGGCCACAUUGGGACUGAGAUACGGCCCAGACUCCUACGGGAGGCAGCAGUGGGGAAUAUUGCACAAUGGGCGCAAGCCUGAUGCAGCAACGCCGCGUGCGGGAUGACGGCCUUCGGGUUGUAAACCGCUUUCAGCAGGGACGAAGCUUUUUGUGACGGUACCUGCAGAAGAAGCACCGGCUAACUACGUG